rnacentral:tRNA from 1 species
UCCCUAGGGGACUAGUGGUUAGGCCACAGCGUUCUCACUGCUGCGGCCCGGGUUUGAUUCCUGGCCAGGGAA